UCUGCAGGUUGUUCGAAUCUGCCUUUGGCGCUUGGAAGAAUUGAAGGUAAUUUAUUUUCUUUUCUUUUUAAUUUUCGCCACCCUUUUUUAGCUAGCACAUCUUGUGGUAUGAAAUUGAUAUCUUAUUGUAAAAAAAUCUAAAUCACGGUCUGUUUAAUUCUAUAGAGGUUAAACUUUUAGUUCUAGAAUAUAUCCGAAAUUUAGAAUUAAAAUCUUCACGGAUCACCCUAGGUGAUUUUUCGAAGUUAGCCUUAAUUUCCGUCAUGCUGAUAGUUUUAGAUUUGUACGACUUUACCAAAAGUUUUAUUUCUUGAUGUAGGAAUCUCAGAAUCGCAAACUGUUUGAUUUAUCAGAAACUAGAGUUCAAGAUCUACAACAUAUCCAAAAUUAAGAAUUAAACACUUUUAGGAUCAUUCUAGAUGAUUUUUUGAAUUCGGCUCUAUAUUUUAAUGUGCCAAUAGUUUCAAAUUACUGCGGCUUCACCAAAAGCUUUAUAUCUUGAUGUAGGAACUCGGAAUCACAAACCAUUUGAUUUAUUAGAAUCAAGAUUCAAAAUCUAUAACUUUUCUGAAAUUGAGAAUUAAAUACUUUCAGGAUCAUUCUAGAUAAUUUUUUGAAGUUGGCUCUACAUUCUAAAGCGCCAAUAUAUAGUUUCAGAUUAUCGUGGCUUCACCAAAAGUUUUAUAUCUUAAUGUAGGAACCUCGAAAUUGAAAACUGUUUGAUUUAUCAAAAACUAGAGUUUAAGAUCUACAAUAUAUCUGAAAUUCAGAAUUAAACACUUUAAGGAUCAUUCUAGAUAAUUUUUUGAAGCCGACUCUACAUUCUAACGUGUCAACAGUUUCAGAUUAUCGUGAUUUCAUCAAAACCUUUGUAUCUCGAUGUUGGAAUGUCAGAAUUGAAAACCGUUUUAAUUGAUCGAAAAGAUCUUCGUUCUCACCAACAAUUAUGGCCUGAAUCAUGCCAGAUUAUUCUAAGCAAUACUUUGAACUCAUUUUUCGAAUCUGACACGCAUUAACAUGUAACUAUCUUUCUUGUACUUGUAUUUUUUUUUGUUUCCUUCCUUUUUGUUAUUGUAGGCAAUGGAGAUAUCUCCGUCAAUAAGGUUAGAUGCACAUAGAAGGAAAAAUUCGUAGCAAAAAAUAGAAUGACAAAUCUUCAACAUCAUAUGGGAGGACAAAUCCAUGAUGGUAUAUGGAAGGACAAAUCUAUGACAGCAUAUAUAGAAGGACAAAUCCAUGACACCUUAUAGAAGUAUCAAAUCCAUGAUAACAUAUAGAAGUAUCGAAUUCAUGAUAACAGAUAGAAGGAUCAAAUCCAUGAAGAGGCCGACCUAAGGUGCAAAUGGACUUAAACGUCCACCUUAAAAUUGGAAAAUUAUAGUUCCUUUUAAGGACAAACCUACGAAGAGGUCAACUUAAGGUGCAAAGAGACUUCGACGUCCACCUUAAGAUUGAAAAAUUAUAGUUCCUUUUAAAGACAAACAUGUGAAGAGGUCAACUUAUGGUGCAAAGGAACUUCAAUGUCCACCUUAAGAUUGAAAAGUUAUAGUUCCUUUUAAGAACAAACCCGCAAAGAGACUAACUUAAGGUGCAAAGGGACUAGCAUGUACACCUUAAGAUUGUCAAAUUAGAAAACUUCAACUUGAAGACUUGGCAGACUUUGCAGAUUUCAAAUUGAAGACCAACAACUUUGAAGAUUUGACGAACUUGAAAAUUUGGUGAACUUUGAUGCUUCAACUUGAAGACUCGGUAGACUUUGCAAAUUUCAACUUGAAAACCAACAAAUUUGAAGGAUUUGACCAACUUGAAAAUUUGGUGGACUUUGAUGCUUCAACUUGAAGAGCGGUGGACUUUUAAAAUUCAACUUGAAAAAUUAGCAGACUUGAAGACUUCAGCUUUAAGACCUGUAGGGUUUAAUUAAUUCAACUUGAAGACCGACGAAUUUGAGGACUUCAAAUUGAGGACCGACGGACAUGAAAACUUGGAAGGAUUGAAUACUUAAACUUAAAGUUAUGAGGGACUUGCAAAAUUUAACUUGAAGAGCGACAUACUUGAAGAUUCAGAGGGCUUAUAUAAUUCAACUUGAAGACCGGCGAACUUGAGGACUUCAAAUUAAAGAUUUGGCCUUCUAAGAUCGGAGAUACCAAUUUGCUAUGAAGGCUUGCCCCCAUUGAACCACCAAUCCUUAAUAAGGCACAAAGUUCAUGUAAACCCGAGUUUUAAGUUCCAAUCAAGUGGAUUAUAUUCCAUCAUUCUUCUUUCGAAUUGGGGUAACAUGUAUAUUUUAAACACAUGCGACUAAACUUAGAAUGGAAUUCUAAGCUACCUAAGUACCUCGGUGAAGAGGAUUAAGGCAUAUCGUAGUUUAGAAUGGGUGAUUUUUUUAUAUGUUCUAACUUUUGCCUAGGCCGCCUCUUUCGAGGUUUUCAACCUAGCGGAUUUUUUUUAUGUCCUAACUUUUGCCUAGGCCACCUCUUUUUAGGUUUUCAUCCUAGAGGGCCUUUUUUUUAGUGGUAACCCGUACACAAUUUAGACUCAUGCGGGACAUGAGUGACAUGUAGUUUAUGCUCUUGUGUUUAGGAGCGUUGCAACUUCAAG
rnacentral:lncRNA from 1 species